UCCUACUGCUCAUCAGGAGCGCCGUGGAGGCGUGCGCCCCGUCCAUGGCCGCGGAUGACCACGCGGCAUCCAUCCCGUGGCCCCCUGAUGCAGAUAAGGUCGCCCUCGUCCCCCUGUGAACCCUAGCCGCCCACUUCAUCUCCACCUCGCGUCGCUCUCUUCUCCUCGCGUGCGCCCGAAGCACCGUCGCCACUAGCUGCUGCAUCGCCGUGGCCACCGACCUCCCCGUCGGCCAAGACUUCGCCAGGAGCUCCGCCCGCUUCCUCUGCUUCGUCUACAAGGGCCAGAUCGAGCCCAUCCUCGAUGCAUCGCCGGACCGCGCCAAUCCCCUCCGUCAGCGUUCGCCUCGGCCACGGCUUCGAUCCACCGUCGUUCGAACCUCCCGGAACCACCUGCUCUCGCCGUUGCCACCACUAUGUCGGAGCCCAGGAGCCAGAUGCCACCGCCGAUGCCUACUACUAGGUGGAGACCGACGAUGACCAGGUGUAGUUAGGAGGCUCCCAGGCAAGAGGCCUUGCCUUUUCGUUCGUAGAUGCUUUUGUGCUAGCCUUCUUAAGGCAAACUUGUCUAACUCAUGUCUGUACUCAGAUAUUGUUGCUUC